rnacentral:lncRNA from 1 species
CAAGCAGAUGCCCAGAGAGUCUGUCUUCAGAGAGGACCGAGGCUUCUCCUGCCACAGCACAGGAAAUCAGCCCACUGAACCCAGGUAUGUCUGGAUAUCAAAUUAAGAAUCAUAUUUUUGGAGGGUCAAGGACAGUACUCACAGGUGAUACUCAGCAGAGCUGACUGUAAGCCGUGGAUCCAACAAAAAUCCCUAAGUGAGAUUCCUUCUUGCAAUUUCACACUUGAGUACUCAACUCAGCAAAAGCUGGGAGAGAAACUCAAUCAAAACAAAUGAAGAGAUGGGGGUGGGAAGAAUAAAGAGAAAUACAACAGAG